AGAUCUCAAGCGAUGCUCGAGGGGAAGAACAGCACCUACAAGGAGGAGAGCCAAGUGCCUGCCACUAGAGAGGAACCCUGGGGACAGUAUCAAGUGCUCUCAGUUCCUCCUGGUGAUCUGAUGCAGGGCAGCGAGGAGGGAGGAAGGUCCACGUCGCUGCGACCCAUCAGCAGCCGUGGGUCAGCACGGGGUUACUUGGAUGAAGGAAUCAAGGCUGGAUCUGGAUUUUGGCCCGAUCCUCACCAUUGUCUUAGACAUGGGCAUCUUCCAAAUUCCUGUGGGAAAUCCCACGUUCUUCACGACUGUCCCUGUCCCUCGGGAAGCAGCUGGAGCACACACGAGCGACCGCCGUGCCCGGCCAGGAGAGGCUGUGCUGCCCAGCCCGGUACCCGCUGACCUCAGGAGGAAUUAACAGGCUUCAGCAAACGUACCCUGCAGGCAGUUUUACCCUGGAAAAACAUCACCCACAUUGCUAGAGUUUAGGACAACAAAUUAAAGCUUUUAAUAUGCACUGGCUGCUUUUUUUUUUUUUUUUCCCCCAUCCCCACACCACCACCAUCCCCCCUCCCAGCCCAGUAACAUCCAGUUGCUUAAUUCCAUUUGAAAUCAGCCGGGUUAGGCACCUAAAUAAUCUUGUCCUUCAUGCCUGUCAACAUCUUGAGGCACCUAACCACCUUUAGAGAUGUGGUGUGAAAGCUUGUGAACGAUGCAAUCGAGGAGGGAAACAAAAGACAAGUAUCCCUAUUUGCUGCCCAAGAAUCCACAAAGAAUGCUGCUUCAGCUCUGCUCUGAUUUCUAAUUAGAUUAUGAGUGAUGUAGGACUCUGAAGCCAAGCUGGAGUUUGUGCUAGCACUUUGCAUGUAUGAAUGACAAAGGGACACCACUUUCAUAUUGAUUUAAGCAAGCCAGUGGAAGAAUGUUUAAACAUCAAGUGCUUGAUGUCCCAGUUUGCCAGAGCACCUGGAAAUAUCAAAUUAAUUCCAGGUGUUCUGCCAUUAAGACAGGCUUGCUGCUUUUACAGCCACACAUACAAAAUGUGGCUUCCAGUUCCACAAAUAAAAACGGAAUGGUUUCUGCUCCUAAUGCCUCGAUAACUCCGACAUAUUGCAAGUUCUGGAAAGAAUUUUAAUCUACAUAGGUUUUUUUUUAAUGGGGAGGGGAGCAAGGGGGGAAAGAUUUUAAAUAUGCUGCAUACAAUUUGUGAUGGUCAUCUCUAAAAUGCAGCUCCAUUAUCCUUUUCCAUUUGGAAUGAAUGAGGCUAAUUAAUUUCAGGCCAUACUUGAUGAGGUCAGCACCAUACGAAGGGUGCGUGCUAGACAUUGCUAAUCUCUUUCAGCUGAGAGUGAUGAAUUAAAGAUGAAGCAUUCCUUUGCAGGCCUAAUUUAGAAUGUAUAUCAAAAACCUACAGCAAAUAAUACUAUACCCUACAACAAAGGAAAACUUGUUCUCUCAGGCUCCCAUGUAGGGUUGAUUUUAAAGGCAUUUUCAUUUCGCUUUGGAAUUCCAGCUGUGGAUGGGUGAAACAGUUCAGAAAAUUCAAGCUUUCUCUCUUUCUAUUGCUUUUAUGGACAAAAGUAGGCAAGGGGGGGCUAAGGGGAGAGAGAAACUGGUCCGUGUUUGAUGCUGUAUAUCCUGUGAUUCUGACUGCACGCUCGGUGUUUGGGAAACCAAGUACCUGUGACGUGACACCCCCCCACGGCCCACACUCACAUCUCACUGUUGGGGCUUUUUAAGUCUCAGGGGAAAGCAGCCAAGGGUCCCCUUUGGUUCAGCAUCAUCCCAAGAAUGUUUUGUUGGACGUUGCAGGCGGGAGACAGGACAGGUCCAGCAGUUCUGCUGGGACACCCAACGAGGACAGGAGGUUCCAAGCCCACACAGAGCUGUCACUCUCCUUAUGGAUAAACACCUCCCUACGCAAAAAGGUCCCAUCACGCCUAGAAGUGCAGAUAGCAAAAGAGAAUGGAACAAAUCACUGCAAAAGUAACCAGGUCUGGGAGCAGGACAAAUUGCUACACAGCUCCUGAACUGGCUGGAGUUGAGGCUCAGCCAAGCUUUGUCACCUUUCCCUCAAGGCAAAGCCACCCACAAAGUCCAUAGGGGUUUUCCCUGAGUGAGGGACUGCAGGAUUUGUUCCUGUGGGCAGCAAGAAGCUGAAUUGUCAUUUUGGUAAAAUAGGGACUUAUGAAAUAUUAUUUUGGUAAAAUAGGGACUUAUGAAAUCUUAAGCCAGCCUCGGAAGGAGGCUGCAAAUAAUAGACCACCGUCCUCCCCACCACUUCUCUGUUCAAUACCUGGCAGUUCCUUGGAAUUCUUGACAGGUUGCUGCAGCGAGUCGAAGUUCCCAACUGGUGGCCAUAAGCGGCUGCCGUCUUUGUAUCCCAGUAGUCCUCAUUAGAACAAAGCUGCUUCGAAUUAAAUCCAAUCUACAUGCCGAAUCAAUCUUUCAGCCCUUUGAUUGCUUCUGAAAAUAUUUAUACUUCUUAAUAAUGCACAUUUUGUCCCAAAGCCUGUGAUUAAACCCAGACAAGGUCCGGAGAAGCCUGAAGUAUAUGUGGAAGGGGUUAUUUUGGACAGGAAAAGAAAGAUAAAGACACAGGUUUUUCCUAUUGUGAAAUCAUUAGAGUGUAUAAAUCUAGCAAUUGCAGUUGUAUAAGCAUCAGAGUGGGGUUGUAAUAAAUACAGAUUGGAGUAUUAUAGUAACCAAAUGGAGUUUAUGGAUUAUGUUCACUAGUUCAUAUUUCUCAGCUACUACAACCUAACUAGCUUCAUGCUGCACUCACCUCUGUUAAUAUUACCUAUUAAUAUUCUCUUUACGUGUUUGUGGGGGGAAAAAAAGUUAGGAUUCAACUGCUGCUCUGUGUAAAACAAAUAUGUUUAAAGAAUCAUGCCCUCCAAAGAAAAAAAAUAAACACAGGGAUGCUGCAAAGCAACUGUGUUCGAAGGGCACAGGCUGUGGCUGGCUGAAAUCAGCCUGUUCUGCUGAAAGUUAAUAACUUCCAUCUGAGGGGGAUCUGGUUCUAAUGCAGGGAAUUUGCUGUGUGAAAACUGGGGUGUAAAAAUGAAGAAAAUAACUUCUGCUGUCCCUUACCCUGGUGAAUUUUUAGGGUGGUAAAUAAUAAGCUUUGGCUGGAGAUGAGAAACGCACAAAGGCUUUGAAACUGUGCUGUGCGGUAAACAGCGUGUUGUUCCCUUCUCAAAAAGCAACACAGGUGAGACAUGAGGAGAUGAGGGGAAGGAAACAUUCCUUGGCUAAGAAGUAACCCAGAUAGGGCCAGAUCCUCCAGAGCGGGGAUCUGCCAUCGAUGGAGAAGGUGGUGGUGGCUGGGGACGCAGAUCAGAUAAAGGCUCUGUACCUGUCUCCCUCCCUAAACACAAAUGACUGCCCUUGUCUCUAAUAACAGGGAGAAAUUUACUUUGGAAAACACAUCAUGAUAAAUCUCCUUGGAUAUAGUAUGCAAUGUCUGGGUGAGAGGGAAAGAAAUCCUAGAUACUAAAAAUACAUAGUACUUAUUUAAUAUCAUUGUCAUCAGCAGCAUCAGAUGGUAAAUGCAGGUAAUAUUCUUCAAUAGUGGGCUGGUAAAUGCUUGUGGUAGUUUUGCUUGUGACAGUUUCUCCUUUCACAAAGGAGAGAAAGAAAUAUUCUCAGUUCAAAUAUUAUUCAUUGACUCUUUCAUCACAUAGUUCAUUAUAUUAAGUUGUUAUUUCCUAAAUAUGUUGGGGGGUGGUAUUAUUGUUAUACAUAUAUCCUGAGUCAUGAUGGCUAUUUUGCAUUAAUGUAUGAUUUGGAUGCUCAGUCUUUAGGUAGAGAGAAGGGGUGUGUUUAUCAUGACAAUAAAUAAGGGGAGAGCAGAGAUUGAAACAACCUCUCCUAAAUGGGGAUGGAUCCAAAACCUAAUGACACACAUGAAAAUCCAUUUUGGAUCAGAACCCCAUCUGAACUAUGUGUUAUAUAACCAGCAUUUUCUGAGUAUCUUCUAUUGUUUGACAACCCUGAUUUCACACUGAACUUGGAGUUCAUUUCCGAACAGAAGCUUUUUGUAUGGAAACUUUUAAUCAUAUCCCUUUGUGAACACACACAUGCCAUCGAGGAUAUUGUCUUAUUAAGAGUUUAAGCCUAAAGGUGUAUGCCUACUUUUAAAAGAAAUUUUCUGAUUGCAGAUAACUGCUCAAUUUGAUUUAGUGUCCAAUGAUAGUGAUGGGGUUGAUAACUGAGCAUUCAUCGGUAAUUCAUCUUGUGCUAGUAGAAAUUUACAGCAAAGCAGUGCUUUCCCAACACUGACAAGUCCUAUUAAUCUUCUUCAGACACAUUUCAAUAGGUGUCUCCAUCUGUGCCCAACAUCUAAACACUCUGGCAUCACUGGGGACUUGGAGACACCUUCAUUUCAGGUUACACUAGUGAAAAUGUGAUACUAGAUUGUACUCUAUUUUUAACCUAAUUCUCUCUUUUCAUUCAAUUAGCCUUUCUUGCCUGCAUUUUUCUACUCAUGUGUAACAUCCUUUUCCCGGGAAUAGCUUAAAAAUAAGAUUUAGUUACUUAAAGAGACAGAAUCUGCCAGGACAAGAGCAACCAAGAGCUCAGUACAGAAAAGCAGAAUAACAAAGCUCAGGGACACAGCGUGGACACCGAAUUGCCAGUCACCAAACACGUCCCGAGCAGCAUUCCCACAAUAUUCCCCUCCUGAUGCACCUCUUGCAGGCACCACUGGGUUAGGACAGGUCUGAAACCAAAACUGAAAACAAUUGCAGGAUGUUUGGGUGCUGAAAUCCCAAAGAGCUCUGUUUGUUCGUGCUGCACGGGGAUCCCCAGCAUCCAUCCCCACUUCGCUUGACAUCUACAACUAAUGCAUGAACAAACACAGAGCAGUCAAAUUACAGCAAUAACAUUUAUGGGUGGAUUAUGUUCCAACUUCCUCACUUAUUAUUAAAAGCGAGUAAAUUGUGAAGCACAUGGAAGAGGUAGGGUGCAAAUGCAGGCGAAUUUCCACUCUGAACCAAAUGUUGUUUUUUCACUUUCAAAGCUGCGAUGAGUUUGCGAGCAGACGCAGCACAGCUUUAAAGCUUACUCAUUCAAAAAUGUGUGUUUGGGUUCCUUUUUUUUUUUUUUUUUUUUUUUUUCCCUCUCCCCUCCUUACUCCAUUUACGUUUGCCUUUCAAAGAGGAGCAGAUGCACACCAUUUGGGUUUGGGUGGCUCCUACUUGCUCUGAACUUUCUUCUGAAAAGAGCAAACCGUGAGCCGUGCGUCUGCUCCGCGCCUCAGAGGCGGUUUCAAACUUUGUUUCUGGCAUUAUGAAGUUCUCUCGUGAGUCGUGUUAUAGAUCUAAAUGACCUUAUUGUAGGUGGCAAGUUUAAAUGUGCCAUAUUAAUAACUUGUUAUCCAAGACAAAUUAAGUCCUUAUGUGUCAAAAGCACUCUGUUCUGGAUUACCUACAAGACAAGUAUUUAUUGAAUAAACGUUGGAUCCAAUUUCAUUU
rnacentral:lncRNA from 1 species